rnacentral:sRNA from 2 species
AUUCUACCCAUGCGGGGAAGGAUGAGAAGCUUCGACCAAGGUUCGAUUCGAGCGCAGCGAGAAAGCGUUGCCGCAGGCAACGACCCGAAGCGCGCAGCGCUGAGUAAUCCUUCCCCCACCACCA